GACGAACGCUGGCGGCGUGCUUAACACAUGCGAGUCGAACGGAGAGGCCCUGCUUUUGUGGGGUGCUCGAGUGGCGAACGGGUGAGUAACACGUGAGUAACCUGCCCUUGACUUUGGGAUAACUUCAGGAAACUGGGGCUAAUACCGGAUAGGAGCUCCUGCUGCAUGGUGGGGGUUGGAAAGUUUCGGCGGUUGGGGAUGGACUCGCGGCUUAUCAGCUUGUUGGUGGGGUAGUGGCUUACCAAGGCUUUGACGGGUAGCCGGCCUGAGAGGGUGACCGGCCACAUUGGGACUGAGAUACGGCCCAGACUCCUACGGGAGGCAGCAGUGGGGAAUAUUGCACAAUGGGCGGAAGCCUGAUGCAGCAACGCCGCGUGCGGGAUGACGGCCUUCGGGUUGUAAACCGCUUUCGCCUGUGACGAAGCGUGAGUGACAGUAAUGGGUAAAGAAGCACCGGCUAACUACGUG
rnacentral:rRNA from 1 species